GGUGGGAGGCAUUGGAUCUUUCUUUCCUUGCCUGGGAUUGAGGCCAAUGUUACCAGAGCCCCAUUUACAUGUCCAAGGGACAGGAGGGGGUUGCUGGGUUGAAAGAAGGAGACUGUGAAUGUGGGUCUGGCAGAGCAACUUCCUCAAGCCCAGACAAAGAAAGGAUGCAAUGCCUCCCUUCCUACUAUCUCCCUUUGCCCAGCAUUGGGUUCUUUCUUCCUUACCUGCUCUUGAGGAGACUGUUGUUGUCAGAGCUCCAUUUGUAGUCUCCUCUUUGCAACCCAGACCCUGCCACCUGGGCCUGCAAGGAAGGAAGGAUUCAAUGUCAGGCAAAGGUCUGCAGAUUAAAGCCAGCCAUUCCAGAGAGAUUCAUGCUUCAGACAAAGACGAGUGAAUGGAUUGAUGUAGUUGUCACUGGAGGAAAUGCAGUAGCCCUUGUUUAUGUGCAGAUGACCAGCUGACUUGAUCUGAAUGACCUCAAAAUCUAUGAAGUCCCUAAAGAACAGAAUGCAAACAUGCAACUGGGAAGAAAAGCACUGAAACCUGUGAAGGUGGCAUUCAACUAUGGGAGUAUAUGGAUACUUCUGCUAUCUUUUGGAGAAAUGCAGAGAAUAGAUCUUUACAUUUAACUUUGGAAAAAUUCUCCUCUCUCAAUUUUGUCUUUGCCGCUAUGAUAAGCCAUUUAAAAUAAAAUCUUACAAGACAAGUGCUGACACAUCUUUAAGUAUAACAUUACAACUGGGCACCAUUUGAAGACUAUAUGGAUUUUUGUGAAAGGCAAGAAAUGCAGCAAUAAAGCCUGGAUUUUAUGAUAUUGUGAACUCCCAGUGUUAUCUUUUCUUUCCUCCAUCUCCCGUGUCUCCAGGGAGAAAGACAAUUAGAGAAAGACAAUCUACCUAAAUAGUCAGGCAAAAUGUGGUGCUGAAGCUAUGCUUCAUUACCCUCCUGCUUUCUCAUCUCCCAUUUUCCACAAAUGGCACACUUAUGGGUUACCUGACAUCCUGAAGCUUUUGUGCUGAGCUGGGAGAGAAUCCUUUCAAAGCCAAAAUAAGCUAUGCAUCUAUGAGAGCAGUCACUUUGAGAGAGUCCCAUUCUUGUGCUAUUUUCAUGAAGAAUUUGACUCUGCAGCAAGGUGCCAGAUAUAGUUGUCUGGCAAUGAACAAAGAGAACUUGUAAAAAUAACCUUUUAUAGUAACAAGAGCUUUUCUUUUAAUUGGUCAAUUAUGCUGAUGUUUCUUAAUUGGGUUCUGUCUUAAGAUGUAAAUGCCCAUGUUCUGUCUUUAUGAGCUAUUCUGACUUGGUAAGAUUUUGAUGGGUGGAAUGACUUAUACAUUUAUUUACUCAUUUAUGAUCACAUUUAUUCUUAGUUUGGAGAAGGAUAAGAAGCAGGCUGCUAGGGAAGUUUGGGGGAGAUUUGGGGGGAAGACUGUGAGUUUAAGGUUCUCAUCCCAUUUGUCACUGGAUUCACCAUGGAUCAUGGCGAAUUCGAAGGUGCCUGGCAUGGGGCAUGGAGAACCCAUUGCCAUACACCCCGUAUCCUUCAGUCUCCCCUUUAACUCAUCCCAUGGGGGAUGUGUCCACCACCCAGCUUGCCCCAUUGAUCUGUAUGCAACACGGGAAGCCUCCCUUGUUGCCACGGAGCCCCGCCAGAAUUAUCUAUGUGUUGUGGGAUGGAAAUCAGCAGGCCCCAUAGUAAAAGGGAAGGGGAACUGGUGUUGCCGCCAAAUUCAGCCCCAUCGAUGCGGUCUUUAAGUAUAUUUAUUAUAUUUUAAUCUGUUUUACCAAACUGUACUAUUAAUUUUUUUUUACUUUUCUAUUGCGUUUUUUAAACUAUGAUUAGCAUGUGGUAUUAUUAGCCACCUUGAGUCUCCUUGGAGAGAAAGGCAGGGUAUAAAGUUAAUAAUAAUUAUAACAUUGUCAUUCCUGCCCAUUCAUCAAGAUAGCAUGAUUAAAUGUUUCCUAUCCUUGAAGAAGCAUAAUCAUUCCAUAAAAAUUUAUUUCUUUUAGAGUAAUAUCAGUAUUUAAAAGUACAGAAAACAUUUGUGAGGGAGGACGGAUGUCCUUAAGAGACUAGUGCAUCUAUAGGUGAAUGUAGCCUUAGUUAUGAUUGUUCACUGUUAACUGUUAUGAUUUGCACAAGCAUAAUGUAACAAAGUGAUAUACCUGUACUUCCAGAGCAGAGAGACAGUUCAAGCUAGAGGUUGUCCAUUUCUUCAAAAAUAGGUGCCACCACUGAUUUUAAAAAUGACUCUAACAUCUGAUUAUAUAUGAGAACCCAGUCUUAUAUGACUAAGUAGAAGGAUAUAAUCUCUUUUCCCCGAGGCUUUUUAAAAACAAUUUAAGAACCAUGUUGGGAUUUUUUUCCCUAUCAGCCCAACAAAUGGUAGAAGCCAACUUAGAGUCAAGCUAGAGAGGCAAAACCAAUUUCUAAGGCUUGUUAAAUGAACAAGUCAAGAGUAAAUUCAUCAGCUGCUUGAAAAUAAAAUGAACUCGGAUAUGAACUACCUAAAACUAAUUAGAAAACUUUACCAGAAACCUAAGAUUUGAUUCACCAAAGCAAAUUCUAAGCUAGGACCCCUUGAAUUGUUUCAGCAACAUUAGGACA